rnacentral:rRNA from 1 species
AACGAACGCUGGCGGCGCGCCUAAUACAUGCAAGUCGAGCGAGAAGGUGUAGCAAUACACUUGUAAAGCGGCGAACGGGUGAGGAAUACAUGGGUAACCUACCCUCGAGUGGGGAAUAACUAGCCGAAAGGUUAGCUAAUACCGCAUACGAUUCCAGGACUUCGGUCCUGGAAGGAAAGCACUACCGUGGGUAGUGCGCUCCUGGAUGGGCUCAUGUCCUAUCAGCUUGNGGUGAGGUAAAGGCUCACCAAGGCUUCGACGGGUAGCUGGUCUGAGAGGACGAUCAGCCACACUGGCACUGCGACACGGGCCAGACUCCUACGGGAGCAGCAGUAAGGAAUAUUGCGCAAUGGGCGAAAGCCUGACGCAGCGACGCCGCGUGGGGGAUGAAGGUCUUCGGACUGUAAACCCCUUUCGGGAGGGAAGAGGGAA